GGUGCCAGACUGGGGACAUUCCCCAGGGGAGCCCAGAAUGAGCCGAGAGCUCCCGGGCCGGAGCUGCGGCCGCGGGGCCGGGACAGCCCCGAGAGGGUUCGGGUGGAGCUGGGGGGAUAACGGGGAGGAGAGGGAGGGGACGGGGAGGAGAAACAGAAAGGGCAAAAGGAACAGGCGGAGGAGGAGGAGGAGGAGGAGGAACAGGAGAAGGGGAAGAAGAAAGAGGAGAAGGAGAAUAAGGAGGAGGAAGAGGAGGAGGAGGAGGAGGAGCUGUUGCAGCCACCUGGGUGCACCCGCAGCGUUCGAACCCCGCUGCUGGCAGAGAGCGGAGGCGGGAGGAGCCAGCGCCAGGAGCGGGCCAUCGUGAUCCCGGGAUCGCCGCUUCGGCCCCACGGAGCAGCCCUGUUCCUGUGGGAUGUGGCCAGCAGGGGUUUGAGGCCUCAUCCCAAGGGAAGCGGAGCUGGAAAAUCCCCGGGAUCGGGAUCCGGAGCCGACCAUGCUGAGCCUCAAAGCGCCCCGGCUGCUCAGCGUCCACCAAGUGCCCAAGGUCAGCUGGGAAUUCUGCUCCCGAGGCUUGGGGGGAUUUGGGAUGUGACAGAUGGGAACAGCGUGAGAAGGGGUCACAGCUGUGUCCCGACUCCGGAAUUUUGGGGAUGCUCCCCAUCCUUUUCCAUUCCUGUCUCCAUCCCCAUCCCAUCCCCAUCCCAUCCCCAUCCCAUCCCAUCCCCAUCCC
rnacentral:lncRNA from 13 species